rfam:Schistosoma mansoni, Puerto Rico, WGS project CABG01000000 data, contig: 0077
AUCCAGCUGACGAGUCCCAAAUAGGACGACGUGAUGCGCGUCCUGGAU